rnacentral:rRNA from 1 species
CGCUAACCCGCAAGGAGGCAGCCCGACGAGGUAGGGUCAGCGACUGGGGUG